UAUCAGCAGAGGUCCAAGCACCAGCUCACCAGCAGAACCCAAAGAAUCACAGAGCUUUCCGCCUUAAUUCCAAGGCCUCACACACAGGGACUGUAAACUGCUGAACUUCAAAACCAGAGCUAGAAGAUUUAGAAACAGCUUUCAAGCUUGAUUUUAAAGGGGCCACUGGGACACACUGCCUCAGAGAACACGUGAGGACAACUAUACUGAGAACGAAUAUGUGAGAUGAGCUCAGGACUUUUCCCACACUUUAUACUUAACAGUGGUCUUCAUGCCCGAAGAAAGAACAAACGGAAGAGCUUGCCAGAGAGCUGAGACAGAGUAUGGAAAGUAACUAGUUUCAGAUACUUAGAUAGUUCUAUUCAUCUUGGGUCACGCCGAUGGGCUAAUGUCUCUCACUCCUUUCCAGAUUCCCUCAGGCAUGAUUUCAUACUUAAGAAGGAAUU